CCACAUCUAAAUAAAAAGUGGUAUCCCUUUUAUUAUGCAACAAAACCUCCGUGUAUAAAUGAGCUGACACCAAUUAAAAAAAAAAAAAAAAAACAAAUACGAAAAUCAUUUAUUCUUAUUUUUGAGAUCCGAACAGGGUCUGCUAUUCUCCAUCUUUCUGCUAUUUUUGAGACCUAGUCCGUCGAAAACUAGGGUCUGCUAUUCUCUAUCUUUCUCUCACUCUCCCCUCCUCGCCGCCUCUGAUUCUCACCCCCAAUUCAUCCUUACAACGUCAUCUUUACAUUUUUUUCCUCAUGGGCACUUGAAAUUUUCCGAAUUUAGGCAUUCCAUAAGCUGUAUGCUGGUUCUCACGGGUUUGUGUUGCAGAGAAGGAGCCCAAACCCCUCAAAUUUGUGGUUGAGAAUCUGAGGUCGGAGAUUACAGAUACGGGGGAAGCAUGAUGGUGCAGCACACACGGCAAUGUCACAUCCUCCGAAGUCCGAAGGAGAGAGAAAACCAAAGGGACAUGAUAAAUGAGUUAUUAGUUUAUGUUUAAUAUUGAAUUAGUGAAAUUUAGUGGCUUAUUUAUUUGAGGUUAAGAAUAUAUUGAGAACCAUUCAAAUUCUGAUAGUCAUAUACUUCUGUAUUUUUGAGAUGGAUAUAUAAUGUUUUUAAUUGUAUUUUCAAUUGUUGAUCAAAUAAAAUUACUUGGUAGUCAUUAA